CAAAGGACUAAUGACACUUCUCUGGGGGGUACCAUUAACUACCUCAUAGCUUUCUGACAUAGAGCUCUCCACCCUCACUUGUAUUGAUUGCACCCAAAAAGAAAAUCCUUUAUCUAGUUAAAAACCCUUCCUCCAACCCCCAUGUUAUCCAGCUUGAUAAGUAGGCCUUCCUUCCACAUCAUAACCCUUCUCUACAUCAAAGAAAACAGCUACCACCACCUCCUUAUUUGCCUGUGCCUUCUGUAUGACUGACUCAAGGCACAGUACAGGAUCCAUCGUUCCCCUGCCUUUCCUGAACCCACUUUGAUCUGGUGACAUUAGUCCUCCACUCUCCAGAAAGUGGCGAAUCGCAUCUCUGUAUGUCUGGCAGACAUAUCAGUGUGGAUGACGGAUCACCACCUCAAGCUGAACCUCGGCAAGACGGAGCUGCUCUUCCUCCCGGGGAAGGACUGCCUGUUCCAUGAUCUCGCCAUCACGGUUGACAACUGCAUUGUGUCCUCCUCCCAGAGUGCUAAGAGCCUUGGCGUGACCCUGGACAACACCCUGUCGUUCUCCGCUAACAUCAAGGCGGUGACCCGAUCCAACAUGCAAUCAUUGGACAAUAAACUAGACGAGGUACGAUCACGAAUAUCCUACCAACGGGACAUCAAAAACUGUAAUAUCCUAUGUUUCACGGAAUCGUGGCUGAAUGAAGAAAUGGAUAAUCAGCUAGCGGGAAACACGCAGCACCGGCAAGAUAGAACAGCACACUCUGGGGCUGAGUCACUGGCCUACUGGUGUUCUUCCAUGCCGUCCAUGGGAGGGGUGUGUCACUUGAGUGGGUUGAGUCACUGACGUGGUCUUCCUGUCUGGGUUGGCGCCCCCCCCCUUGGGUUGUGCCAUGGCGGAGAUCGUUGUGGGCUAUACUCGGGCUUGUCUUAGGACGGUAAGUUGGUGGUUGGAGACAUCCCUCUAGUGGUGUGGGGGCUGUGCUUUGGCAAAGUGGGUGGGGUUAUAUCCUGCCUGUUUGGCCCUGUCCGGGGGUAUCAUCGGAUGGGGCCACAGUGUCUUCUGAUCCCUCCUGUCUCAGCCUCCAGUAUUUAUGCUGCAGUAGUUUAUGUGUCGGGGGGCUAGGGUCAGUCUGUUACAUCUGGAGUAUUUCUCUUGUCUUAUCCGGUGUCCUGUGUGUAUUUAAAUAUGCUCUCUCUAAUUCUCUCUUUCUCUCUUUCUGUCUUUCUCUCGGAGGACCUGAGCCCUAGGACCAUGCCUCAGGACUACCUGGUAUGAUGACUCCUUGCUGUCCCCAGUCCACCUGGCCGUGCUGCUGCUCCAGUUUCAACUGUUCUGCCUGUGGCUAUGGAACCCUGACCUGUUCACCGGACGUGCUUGUUGCACCCUCGACAACUACUAUGAUUAUUAUUAUUAUUUGACCAUGCUGGUCAUUUAUGAACAUUUUAACAUCUUGACCAUGUUCUGUUAUAAUAUCCACCCUGCACAGCCAGAAGAGGACUGGCCACCCCUCAUAGCCUGGUUCCUCUCUAGGUUUCUUCCUAGGUUUUUGGCCUUUCUAGGGAGUUUUUCCUAGGGAGUUUUUCCUAGCCACCGUGCUUCUUUCACAUGCUUUGCUUGCUGUUUGGGGUUUUAGGCUGGGUUUCUGUACAGCACUUUGAGAAUAUCAGCUGAUGUACGAAGGGCUAUAUAAAAAUAAAUUUGAUUUGAUUUGAUUUGAUGUACUGGGCCGUACGCACUACCCUCUGUAGUGCCUUGCGGUCAAAGGCUAAGCAGUUGCCAUAGCAGGCAGUGAU
rnacentral:lncRNA from 1 species